rnacentral:rRNA from 1 species
GCAUAUCAAUAAGCGGAGGAAAAGAAACCAACAGGGAUUCCCCUAGUAACGGCGAGUGAAGCGGGAACAGCUCAAAUUUGAAAUCUGGCCUUCGGGUCCGAAUUGUAAUUUGCAGAGGAUGCUUUUGGUUAGGUACUUUCCGAGUUCCCUGGAACGGGACGCCUUAGAGGGUGAGAGCCCCGUACGGUUGGAUACCGAGCCUUUGUAAAGCUCCUUCGACGAGUCGAGUAGUUUGGGAAUGCUGCUCUAAAUGGGAGGUAAAUUUCUUCUAAAGCUAAAUACCGGCCAGAGACCGAUAGCGCACAAGUAGAGUGAUCGAAAGAUGAAAAGCACUUUGAAAAGAGGGUUAAAUAGCACGUGAAAUUGUUGAAAGGGAAGCGUUUAUGACCAGACUUUUUCCAGGCGAAUCAUCCGGUGUUCUCGCCGGUGCACUUCGUCUGGUUGAGGCCAGCAUCGGUUUUCGUGGGGGGAUAAAAGCGGUGGGAAUGUGACUCCUCCGGGAGUGUUAUAGCCCGCCGUAUAAUACCUCCAUGGGGACCGAGGUUCGCGCUCUGCAAGGAUGCUGGCGUAAUGGUCAUCAACGACCCGUCUUGAAACACGGACCAAGGAGUCGAACAUUUGUGCGAGUGUUUGGGUGUUAAACCCUCACGCGUAAUGAAAGUGAACGGAGGUGAGAGCCCUUACGGGUGCAUCAUCGACCGAUCCUGAUGUUUUCGGAUGGAUUUGAGUAAGAGCAUAACUGUUCGGACCCGAAAGAUGGUGAACUAUGCGUGGAUAGGGUGAAGCCAGAGGAAACUCUGGUGGAGGCUCGCAGCGGUUCUGACGUGCAAAUCGAUCGUCAAAUCUGCGCAUGGGGGCGAAAGACUAAUCGAACCAUCUAGUAGCUGGUUACCGCCGAAGUUUCCCUCA